GACGAACGCUGGCGGCGUGCUUAACACAUGCAAGUCGAACGGAAAGGCCCUGCUUUUGUGGGGUGCUCGAGUGGCGAGCGGGUGAGUAACACGUGAGUAACCUGCCCUUGACUUUGGGAUAACUUCAGGAAACUGGGGCUAAUACCGGAUAGGAGCUCCUGCUGCAUGGUGGGGGUUGGAAAGUUUCGGCGGUUGGGGAUGGACUCGCGGCUUAUCAGCUUGUUGGUGGGGUAGUGGCUUACCAAGGCUUUGACGGGUAGCCGGCCUGAGAGGGUGACCGGCCACAUUGGGACUGCGAUACGGCCCAGACUCCUACGGGAGGCAGCAGUGGGGAAUAUUGCACAAUGGGCGGAAGCCUGAUGCAGCAACGCCGCGUGCGGGAUGACGGCCUUCGGGUUGUAAACCGCUUUCGCCUGUGACGAAGCGUGAGUGACGGUAAUGGGUAAAGAAGCACCGGCUAACUACGUG
rnacentral:rRNA from 1 species